rnacentral:rRNA from 1 species
UACAGAGGUCUCAAGCGUUGUUCGGAAUCACUGGGCGUAAAGGGUGCGUAGGCGGGUCUUUAAGUCAGGGGUGAAAUCCUGGAGCUCAACUCCAGAACUGCCUUUGAUACUGAAGAUCUUGAGUUCGGGAGAGGUCAGUGGAACUGCGAGUGUAGAGGUGAAAUUCGUAGAUAUUCGCAAGAACACCAGUGGCGAAGGCGGCUGACUGGUCCGGUUCUGACGCUGAGGCGCGAAAGCGUGGGGAGCAAACAGG